UCAUGUCAGGUAAGAGGACCCCCUGAAUUUAAGCAUAUAAGUAAGGGGAGGAAAAGAAACUAACGAGGAUUCCCUCAGUAACGGCGAGUGAAGCGGGAAAAGCUCAACAUGAAAACCUGGGAGCCUCGCUCUCCGGAUUGUAUUCUCUAGAGGCGUGUUCAGUGGCCGCUCGCGUAUAAAUCCUUUGGAAAAGGGUGUCAUAGAGGG
rnacentral:rRNA from 1 species